AUGAUCCCGCUGCUGUUCCUGGUGCUGUUCGCGGAGGGGGCGGUGGCGCUGCUGCUCAUGGUCAAGAUCGGGCCGCUGCGGGAGCUGGCGAUGCGGGGCGUGGAGCAGGUCAAGACCGGCAAGGGCCCCGCCACCGUCAAGACGCUCGCCUGCACGCUCUCCGUCAUCCUCAUGUCCAGCGUCGCCGCCAUCGUCAGGAUCCAGGACAGGGGCCACAAGAUCGGCAACGUCAGCCCCAUGGACCAGGUGCUCUGGCGGACGCACCUCCUCGAGGCAUCCCUCAUCGGAUACACACUAUUCCUCGCAUUUGUCAUCGACCGGUUGCACCACUACCUUCGGAAGCUCAUCACCCUGAGGAAGUCAGCCAACACCUCAAGGGAGGAGGUUGAGAAGCUCCAAAUGGAGAACCGGUCCUUGCGCGAGAAGGAGAAGUCAGCCAGCGAGAUGAAGAAGCUUCAGCAGGACAUGGCCAAGCUGAGCGAGGACAUGAAGAAGCUGAAAUCCGAGUCUGAAGAUCACCAGAGGAAAGCGUCUGACGCGGAGGCCCACGUCAACGCCCUGCAGAAGCAGUCCGAGGAGCUGCUCCUCGAGUACGACCGGCUGCUGGAGGACAACCAGAUCCUGCAGUCCCAGCUUCACUACAAAGGCUGA
rnacentral:rRNA from 1 species